rnacentral:rRNA from 1 species
GACUGCCCUAUGGGUUGUAAACUUUUUUUAUACGGGAACAAAUGUGGGUACGUGUACCUAUUUGCGUGUACCGUAUGAAUAAGCAUCGGCUAACUCCGUGCCAGCAGCCGCGGUAAUACGGAGGAUGCGAGCGUUAUCCGGAUUUAUUGGGUUUAAAGGGUGCGUAGGCGGUUGAUUAAGUUAGUGGUAAAAUGUCAUGGCUAAACCUUGGCCAGCCAUUAAUACUGGUCAGCUUGAGUACAGACGAGGUAGGCGGAAUAAGUUAAGUAGCGGUGAAAUGCUUAGAUAUAACUUAGAACUCCGAUAGCGAAGGCAGCUUACCAGACUGUGACUGACGCUGAAGCACGAGAGCGUGGGUAGCGAACAGGAUUAGAUACCCUGGUAGUCCACGCCGUAAACGAUGCUCACUGGUUCUGUGCGACAUACAGUACGGGAUUAAGCGAAAGUAUUAAGUGAGCCACCUGGGGAGUACGACCGCAAGGUUGAAACUCAAAGGAAUUGACGGGGGCCCGCACAAGCGGAGGAACAUGUGGUUUAAUUCGAUGAUACGCGAGGAACCUUACCCAGGCUCGAACGGCAAUCUGAAUGUUAGUAGAGAUACUUUCAGUCUUCGGACAGGUUGUCGAGGUGCUGCAUGGUUGUCGUCAGCUCGUGCCGUGAGGUGUCGGCUUAAGUGCCAUAACGAGCGCAACCCUUGCUGUCAGUUGCCAUCGGGUGAUGCCGGGCACUCUGGCGGGACUGCCAUCGCAAGAUGUGAGGAAGGUGGGGAUGACGUCAAAUCAGCACGGCCCUUACGUCUGGGGCUACACACGUGUUACAAUGGGGAGUACAGAGGGAUGCCACCUGGCGACAGGGCGCUGAUCCCGAAAUCUCUUCUCAGUUCGGAUUGGAGUCUGUAACCCGACUCCAUGAAGCUGGAUUCGCUAGUAAUCGCGCAUCAGCCAUGGCGCGGUGAAUACGUUCCCGGGCCUUGCACUCACCGCCCGU